rnacentral:rRNA from 1 species
GGGUUGUGAGGUUAAGCGACUAAGCGUACACGGUGGAUGCCCUGGCAGUCAGAGGCGAUGAAGGGCGUGCUAAUCUGCGAUAAGCGCCGGUAAGGUGAUAUGAACCGUUAUAACCGGCGAUACCCGAAUGGGGAAACCCAGUGUGAUUCGUCACACUAUCAUUAACUGAAUCCAUAGGUUAAUGAGGCGAACCGGGGGAACUGAAACAUCUAAGUACCCCGAGGAAAAGAAAUCAACCGAGAUUCCCCCAGUAGCGGCGAGCGAACGGGGAGGAGCCCAGAGCCUGAAUCAGCAUGUGUGUUAGUGGAAGCGUCUGGAAAGGCGCGCGAUACAGGGUGACAGCCCCGUACACAAAAGCGCAUGUGCUGUGAGCUCGAUGAGUAGGGCGGGACACGUGGUAUCCUGUCUGAAUAUGGGGGGACCAUCCUCCAAGGCUAAAUACUCCUGACUGACCGAUAGUGAACCAGUACCGUGAGGGAAAGGCGAAAAGAACCCCGGCGAGGGGAGUGAAAAAGAACCUGAAACCGUGUACGUACAAGCAGUGGGAGCUGUGUGACUGCGUACCUUUUGUAUAAUGGGUCAGCGACUUAUAUUCUGUAGCAAGGUUAACCGAAUAGGGGAGCCGGAGGGAAACCGAGUCUUAAUUGGGCGUUAAGUUGCAGGGUAUAGACCCGAAACCCGGUGAUCUAGCCAUGGGCAGGUUGAAGGUUGGGUAACACUAACUGGAGGACCGAACCGACUAAUGUUGAAAAAUUAGCGGAUGACCUGUGGCUGGGGGUGAAAGGCCAAUCAAACCGGGAGAUAGCUGGUUCUCCCCGAAAGCUAUUUAGGUAGCGCCUCGUGAAUUCAUCUCCGGGGGUAGAGCACUGUUUCGGCUAGGGGGCCAUCCCGGCUUACCAACCCGAUGCAAACUGCGAAUACCGGAGAAUGUUAUCACGGGAGACACACGGCGGGUGCUAACGUCCGUCGUGAAGAGGGAAACAACCCAGACCGCCAGCUAAGGUCCCAAAGUCAUGGUUAAGUGGGAAACGAUGUGGGAAGGCCCAGACAGCCAGGAUGUUGGCUUAGAAGCAGCCAUCAUUUAAAGAAAGCGUAAUAGCUCACUGGUCGAGUCGGCCUGCGCGGAAGAUGUAACGGGGCUAAACCAUGCACCGAAGCUGCGGCAGCGACACUGUGUGUCGUUGGGUAGGGGAGCGUUCUGUAAGCCUGCGAAGGUGGCCUGUGAGGGUUGCUGGAGGUAUCAGAAGUGCGAAUGCUGACAUAAGUAACGAUAAAGCGGGUGAAAAGCCCGCUCGCCGGAAGACCAAGGGUUCCUGUCCAACGUUAAUCGGGGCAGGGUGAGUCGACCCCUAAGGCGAGGCCGAAAGGCGUAGUCGAUGGGAAACGGGUUAA